AGGGCCGGAAUUCCCGCUCAGG
rnacentral:misc_RNA from 1 species